CUCCAUUUGAAAGUUAGGGAAACUGAGCCUUUCAAGAGGGGAAGAUUUGCCCGAGGAUACAGAGUUGACAAAAUCUGGAGCCGAGACUCAGAUUCAAGGCUGACCCAGGCCUACAGUCCAAGAACCAGAGGAACAUCAUGGAGGUCUGAAAUUUGGAGCAGUAACUUCCCAAUUAUGUGUCUCUGGGCAAUUCUUCUAACCUCCCUUAGCCUGUGCUUUACUUUCUUCAGAUAAUAUGGUGGGGUCGCCUGUUAGAGUUUACUUACAAAGAGCAAUUACAGAAAUUUCUAGAACAUGUAGCUGCUCGAUUAAAUUCUGCUACUACUAUUGUGUGGUUAUUAUACAUUCUUCCAAACCAACAGAACACAGCAGCAUUUAAGGUCCUAGAAUCUUAGAAUAAGAUGUCAUAAGUGAAAGAAAGGGACUUUGUAAGUAAUCUACUCCAAACUUCUUAUUUUAAAGAAGAAAAAACUGAAACCCAGAGAGGAUAGGAAGUUACCUGGUAAUACAGUGUAGUGCUGUUAAGAAGAAGGGCUGAUUUUGAUGAAAGAGUCAAUUUUGGGAAGGAUGAUUCAGAGAUGGCUUGGGACUUUCAAGUGGGGACAUCCAGCAGUAGGAAAAAGCUGCUUGGAUUUCGCUUUCUGUUGCAUCCUGGGGUGCUCAGAGCCACACCUGACGACUGUCAGUACAGGCAAGGCAUUUGGUGAAUAAAUGCAUGGACAGCAAAGCCCUCCAUCCCGGACCUGAUCUGCAAGCAGGUAUUUUGUAUAAUUCAGGUGAGUCUCUUUGGCUCCCCUUUAUGACCUUGGAUCACUCCAAAGAAUAUUCAAAGAUUGAAAACCAUCUUUACUUCUUUUUUCUUUUCUCUUAGGCCAUCAGAAUUUGCAGCUCCUCAUCUGUGUAAAUCAGGCUUUCAAGAUUCUGUACAACCACAACUAAUGAAAAUUAUCAGGUUGUUUUGAUAAAUAUAAAAAGUGUGAAGUCAGAGGUUAUGGGUGACAAUUGCAGUUUUGAAUCAAACUGAACAUUCAAUUUAUUUAAUCAAAACAGCCUUGUUCUUAUUGAUUGAAUUCAUAAUAGAUAAGGGUUAUAAUCUGUAUUUAUAAAAUAAAUCAAC
rnacentral:lncRNA from 1 species